rnacentral:rRNA from 1 species
UACGAAGGGGGCUAGCGUUGCUCGGAAUCACUGGGCGUAAAGGGCGCGUAGGCGGGCGGUCAAGUCAGAGGUGAAAGCCCACGGCUCAACCGUGGAAGUGCCCCUGAUACUGAUCGUCUCGAGGGAGGUAGGGGCGUGCGGAACUUCCGGUGGAGCGGUGAAAUGCGUAGAUAUCGGAAGGAACACCGAUGGCGAAAGCAGCGCGCUGGAUCUCUACUGACGCUGAGGCGCGAAAGCCAGGGGAGCAAACGGG